CCUACGGGUGGCUGCAGUGGGGAAUAUUGGACAAUGGGGGCAACCCUGAUCCAGCCAUGCCGCGUGUGUGAAGAAGGCCCUCGGGUUGUAAAGCACUUUCAGUGAGGAAGAACGCCUGGUGGUUAAUACCCAUCAGGAAAGACAUCACUCACAGAAGAAGCACCGGCUAACUCCGUGCCAGCAGCCGCGAUAAUACGGAGGGUGCGAGCGUUAAUCGGAAUUACUGGGCGUAAAGCGCGCGUAGGUGGCUUGAUAAGCCGGUUGUGAAAGCCCCGGGCUCAACCUGGGAACGGCAUCCGGAACUGUCAAGCUAGAGUGCAGGAGAGGAAGGUAGAAUUCCCGGUGUAGCGGUGAAAUGCGUAGAGAUCGGGAGGAAUACCAGUGGCGAAGGCGGCCUUCUGGACUGACACUGACACUGAGGUGCGAAAGCGUGGGUAGCAAACAGGAUUAGAUACCCCUGUAGUC
rnacentral:rRNA from 1 species